CCAUAAAAUCGGAUUAUUCACACAAUAGAAAUUUAGUAUAUAACAUGCAUCGAUCAACUCUAAGUAUUUAGUUAAAAAAUUUAAGUUAAUACAUACAUACAUAUAAUGUUAUUCCAAAAUCUACUAAUUUGCUUGCCAAUUUUUAGUGUAUCGUGUUAUUCCAGUUUUGGAGCAGAACCUAAAAUAUUCACUCUGUACAGCAAACUAUAUAUGAUUUCCAACUUAGAAAGAGACUUCUUCAACGCGGACAGAAUAUGUAAAAGGCAUGGCCUUCUACUGGCCACAAUUCAAAAUCCAAGGCAACAAACAUUUCUGGCAUCGUUUUUAAAAAAGUUACCCCUAAGUCCAAGUGAUGAUUUUUAGAUUGGUGGUUCAGCUCUGGGAAUGAAAACGCAUACACCGUUUUACUACUAUUGGACGAAUACCGGCGAAAAUAUAACAUUUUCCAAUUGGGCCCCUCCUAACCAACCUUAUAAGUUAGGGGACCA